GAAGGUAUACCUCAGUUAUAGAGUACAUGUCUAGCAUACAUGAGGUCCUGAGUUCAAUCCCUAGUACCUCCA
rnacentral:tRNA from 1 species